rnacentral:lncRNA from 1 species
GCCUAUCAGUGCCGGGUCUGCGCAGCCACAGGUUCCGGACGUCUUGGCCCCGGGAAUAAAUAAAGACAUAAACCAACCCGGCUUUCUCCGGAGGAAUGAGGGUUGAGUUGCAAAACGUACCGCGUAGACGCCCCUGGUGGCGCCGAGAGAAGAGCUAGGCCUGCCCAGCACAGAGCCGGAGAGCGUCGGGCCUUCCGGAAGGGUCGACGAGAUGAGUUCCUACUUGACCUCUGAGCCGAGGUGGGCCGGAAACCGAGGCCUAGGCCCCGCCGGGGCUGCAAGGAAAAGGGGAAACUCCGAGCGUAGCGUCUUUUCCUUGUGGUUCCUUUCUCCGGCAUCCCGGACUGCGGGCCCUGCAGCCACCUGGACCGGCAUUCAAAGGAUUCUGCAAGUCCAGCUUCACAGACUGGCUUUCCCAGACGCUCCGAAGCCCGCACCACGAACAGAAUAAAGGAGAGACGAGAGAUCGCAACUAGAUUUGAGAAUCCUCGUUCUUUUCCCCAAUCGUUCGGGCAGUAAACUCCGGAGCCGGCUACAGCGCGCAUCCUCCCUUCCUCCUUUCGGAGAACUGUCGCUUUCCCGAAGCUGCUCCCAGCUGGGUUUUCUCCCGAAGUUUAUUUUUCUCAUUUUGCAAAAUUCCUGCCCUGAUUUUAAUACUGCAACAGGACAGCAGAGGUUCCUCUUUAAAAAGUCAAAACCCAAACCAAAGGGGCCCAUUGCUGUUGAUAAUUUUUUUCUUCACCUUCUCCUUCCGUUUUUAAGAAAGACACUUCCAAAACUACCCAUUGUUUUCCUCUCAAAAGAGAACUCGCUUUAAAAUGCAUCCCUUUCUAUUUCUCUCCGGAUAUGUCCCCACCUGACCCGGUGGCAACUUGUGGGGCGUGGGGGUAGUGAAAAAUAGAAGUGUGGACGGGGCUGGGAAAAUGAAUAAGAAUUAUAACAAUAGAAAUGAUGACAAAACUAAA